rnacentral:tRNA from 1 species
UCGGGGUGUAGCUCAGCCUGGUAGAGCGUCUGCUUUGGGAGCAGAAUGUCGUCAGUUCGAAUCUGGCUACCCCGAUACA